rnacentral:rRNA from 2 species
UUGGGUAUACUGUGGAUGUGUCUAGCCUGUGUCAGACCUAGUUAAUAGGUAUGCUUUAGGAGGGGCUUGCGCCAUAUUAGUUAGUUGGUAGGGUAAUGGCCUACCAAGACGAUGAUGUGUAGCUGGACUGAGAGGUUGAACAGCCACAUUGGGACUGAGACACGGCCCAAACUCCUACGGGAGGCAGCAGUAGGGAAUUUUCGGCAAUGGAGGAAACUCUGACCGAGCAACGCCGCGUGAAUGACGAAGUACUUCGGUAUGUAAAGUUCUUUUAUCGAGGAAGAAAAGCAAAUGGCGAACCAUUUGUUUGCCGGUACUUGAUGAAUAAGCCCCGGCUAAUUAUGUGCCAGCAGCCGCGGUAAGACAUAAGGGGCAAGUGUUAUCCGGAAUUAUUGGGCGUAAAGGGUGCGUAGGCGGUCUAGUAAGUCAGUGGUGUAAUGGCAACGCUUAACGUUGUCCGGCUAUUGAAACUGCUAAACUUGAGUUAGAUAGAGGCGAGUGGAAUUCCAUGUGUAGCGGUAAAAUGCGUAAAUAUAUGGAGGAACACCAGAGGCGUAGGCGGCUCGCUGGGUCUUAACUGACGCUGAGGCACGAAAGCGUGGGGAGCAAACAGGAUUAGAUACCCUGGUAGUCCACGCCGUAAACGAUGAGUACUAAGUGUCGGGUUAAACCGGUACUGAAGUUAACACAUUAAGUACUCCGCCUGAGUAGUACGUACGCAAGUAUGAAACUUAAAGGAAUUGACGGGACUCCGCACAAGCGGUGGAUCAUGUUGUUUAAUUCGAAGAUACCCGAAAAACCUUACCAGGUCUUGACAUGUUUUUGCAAAAUGAUAGUAAUAUCGUGGAGGUUACCAGAAACACAGGUGGUGCAUGGUUGUCGUCAGCUCGUGUCGUGAGAUGUUAGGUUAAGUCCUAAAACGAGCGAAACCCUUAUCGUUAGUUGCCAGCACGUUAUGGUGGGGGACUUUAACGAGACUGCCAAUGAUAAAUUGGAAGGAAGGUGAAGGAUCACGUCAAAAUCAGCAUGCCCCCUUAUGACCUGGGGCUACAAACGUGAUACAAUGGCUGUUACAAAGGGUAGCUGAAACGCAAGUUCUUGGCCAAUCCCCAAAAACAGUCCCAGUCCCGGAUUGAAGUCUGCAACUCGACUUCAUGAAAGUGGGAAUCCCUAGUAAUCGCGAAUCAGCAUGUCCCGUGAAAACAUUUCCCGGGUUGUUACCCCCACCCCCCCCUCCAUAUACAAAAACCCCCCUUUUUUAUAUACAUAAUAUUUAGGAGUUGUGGUGUGGUGUGUGUGUUUAAAUGUUGUUUUUUUAA